UCAGGAGCAGCAGGGCAGAGACCCAUAACCCCAAGUGCAUUGUGAGGGCAGGAGGGCACAGAGGCCCGCUUGCCCUCCUCCUCAGUGGGCCAUCUGUUUCCCCUUUCCGGGCGCUAGCCCCGGGAGGGGCUGGGGGGCGCGUGCAGGGAUGUUCCCAGCUUGGGUUUCACUUCCCUCCUGCCCCCAAACCCUGCAGGCUCCCCAGCGGGUGCCCAGCACGGGCUGUUCAGGGCCCAGGAACUCAGCUACUCACCUCCCGUGCGCGGCCUGCCGGCCUGCACAAGUGCAGGACCCCAGGUCCCCACUGCUGUUACUGUGAUUUCUUGCCUUAUUUCUUUCCUGGAGGAUUGUGGAAUUUGGGCACUGAGUGGGAAGAGGCCUCAGGAUCAUGUAAUUCACUCUCCUCUGUUAACCAAUGGAGAAACCAAGCCCAGAGGCCAGGGCUUGCCCCAAAUCAGAGACAAAAUUAGGUCACAGAUACACGCAGAGGGAGACCACGUGAAGACACAGGGAGAAGAAUGCUGUCUACGAGCCCAGCCCUAGGCCCCAGAACUGUGAGGAGUCAGCAUGCAGCAGGCCUCUGACAUUACAGCUAACGGUGACGAUGGUGACGCCCGCUAACCGGCCGUGGGGAGGGCCCGCUCCUGCCCCUGUUGCAGUCGGACGAGGGGCUCAGGAUGCUCGAAUGAUUUCCCAAGCUCACCCAGACGGGUCAGGCCAUGCAGAAUUCGGUACCGAGGGGCAAUCACAGGACAGUGUGAUCUGAGAUCCUGGGGGCUCGGGAGCUGUGGGGCUGAGGGGCCCAGUCCCAUGUUUUGCCUCAGGAGAUCAACCUUCAGCAAGAUUCAGUUUGGGACCCUGGUGAGGUGGGGUCUGGGCUGAUGUUCUGCUGUUGGCCUCCAGCUCCAACUUUAUAACAGGAGGGCACCCCCAGAACUGCAGGGGUGCCCAGCACCACAGUAUGCCCUCAACGGAGCCCCCUCCACUGC